ensembl:lncRNA DPY19L2P2 DPY19L2 pseudogene 2
UAGUCAACGGCUCGUCAACGGCUGCGGGGACAAGUCCGUUGAGGCUGCCAGGCGAGUCAGGCCUUUCUGGACCUCGCCUGACUCGGCUGGGCUGUGCCUGAAAUUGACCCAGCUCCACUAGGAAUUAUGAAGAAACAAGGAGUAAGCCCAAAGCCGCUGCAAUCUUCCCGCCCCAGCCCGUCUAAGCGGCCCUGCGGGGCCUCCCCCGCCCGGGAGCGGGAGGUGGAAAAGUCGGCCCUAGGCGGCGGGAAACUGCCGGGGGGCGCCAGGAGGUCCUCCCCGGGGAGGAUCCCAAAUCUGAAAAAGCGAAAAGGCUUGGAGCUAAAGGUGGUGGCCAAGGCCCUUCUCGGCCCCUUCCAGUUCGUCUGUAAUUCCCUGGCGCAGCUCCGGGAAGAGGUGCACGAACUGCAGGCGCGGUGGUUCCCCAGCAGAACCACUCUGCAUCGGUAAGGAGAGGUCAGGAGAGCCCUAGGAGGGAGGCGCAUCGCGCUUUUCUUCAGUCUUGAAGGAGAUCAGUUUAACAAGCAA